rnacentral:rRNA from 1 species
UACAGAGGGGGCAAGCGCUAUUCGGAAUUAUUGGGCGUAAAGGGCGCGUAGGCGGUUCUUCAAGUCUCUCGUGAAAUCCCUCGGCUUAACCGAGGAACUGCCGUCCAAACUGCUUCGCUUGAGACCGGGAGAGGUGAGUGGAAUUCCCAGUGUAGCGGUGAAAUGCGUAGAUAUUGGGAGGAACACCAGUGGCGAAGGCGGCUCACUGGACCGGUACUGACGCUGAUGCGCGAAAGCGUGGGGAGCAAACGGG